rnacentral:rRNA from 1 species
UAGGGAAUCUUCCACAAUGGGCGCAAGCCUGAUGGAGCAACGCCGCGUGAGUGAAGAAGGUCUUCGGAUCGUAAAACUCUGUUGUUAGAGAAGAACAUGCGGGAGAGUAACUGUUCUUGUAUUGACGGUAUCUAACCAGAAAGCCACGACUAACUACGUGCCAG